GAUGAACGCUGGCGGCGUGCCUAAUACAUGCAAGUCGAACGAAACUUCUUUAUCACCGAGUGCUUGCACUCACCGAUAAAGAGUUGAGUGGCGAACGGGUGAGUAACACGUGGGCAACCUGCCCAAAAGAGGGGGAUAACACUUGGAAACAGGUGCUAAUACCGCAUAACCAUAGUUACCGCAUGGUAACUAUGUAAAAGGUGGCUAUACUACCGCUUUUGGAUGGGCCCGCGGCGCAUUAGCUAGUUGGUAGGGUAAAGGCUUACCAAGGCAAUGAUGCGUAGCCGAAUUGAGAGGUUGAUCGGCCACAUUGGGACUGAGACACGGCCCAAACUCCUACGGGAGGCAGCAGUAGGGAAUCUUCCACAAUGGGCGAAAGCCUGAUGGAGCAACGCCGCGUGGGUGAAGAAGGUCUUCGGAUCGUAAAACCCUGUUGUUAGAGAAGAAAGUGCGUGAGAGUAACUGAUCACGUUUCGACGGUAUCUAACCAGAAAGCCACUGCUAACUACGUG
rnacentral:rRNA from 1 species